UCCGGUUUGUUUCCGGCGGUCUCCCUAGAUUUGCAACUAAGGACGAGGGUUGCGCUCGUUGCGGGACUUAACCCAACAUCUCACGACACGAGCUGACGACAGCCAUGCAACAUCUGUGCACCCGUCCCGAAGGAGGGCCCUCUUUCAAGGGAUUGCGAGUGCAUGUCAAGCCUUGGUAAGGUUCUUCGCGUCGCAUCGAAUUAAACCACACGCUCCGCUGCUUGUGCGGGUCCCCGUCAAUUCCUUUGAGUUUUAGUCUUGCGACCGUACUCCCCAGGCGGGCCACUUAAUGCGUUGGCUUCGGCACGGAAGGGGUCAACACCCCCCACACCUAGUGGCCAUCGUUUACUGCUAGGACUAC
rnacentral:misc_RNA from 1 species